rnacentral:rRNA from 1 species
UACGAAGGUGGCUAGCGUUGUUCGGAAUUACUGGGCGUAAAGCGCGCGCAGGCGGUUUCUCAAGUCAGUGGUGAAAGCCCGGAGCUCAACUCCGGAACUGCCAUUGAAACUGUGAAACUUGAGGACGAGAGAGGUGAGUGGAAUUCCCAGUGUAGAGGUGAAAUUCGUAGAUAUUGGGAAGAACACCGGUGGCGAAGGCGGCUCACUGGCUCGUUUCUGACGCUCAGGCGCGACAGCGUGGGGAUCAAACAGG